GGGCCCGCACAAGCGGUGGAGCAUGUGGUUUAAUUCGAUGCAACGCGAAGAACCUUACCUGGUCUUGACAUACACAGAAUCUUGUAGAGAUACGAGAGUGCCUUCGGGAAUUGUGAUACAGGUGCUGCAUGGCUGUCGUCAGCUCGUGUCGUGAGAUGUUGGGUUAAGUCCUAUAACGAGCGCAACCCCUAUUUCUAGUUGCCAGCACAUAAUGGUGGGGACUCUAGAGAGACUGCCGGUGCAAACCGUGAGGAAGGUGGGGAUGACGUCAAAUCAUCAUGCCCCUUACAUCCUGGGCUACACACGUACUACAAUGCUACGGACAAAGGGCAGCAAGUUCGCGAGGACAAGCAAAUCCCAAUAAACCCGUGGCUCAGUUCAGAUCGUAGGCUGCAACUCGCCUACGUGAAGGCGGAAUCGCUAGUAAUCG
rnacentral:rRNA from 1 species